UGUGUGUGUGUGCAGGGUCACAGGAACGGCUCCACAAGACGGCAUAAAAACAGUUUUAGGGGCACUUACAAAAGUUAUAUUUUUAAACAUUAGGUUCUGAUUUUUUUAAGAGUUUAUUUUGUAUAUUUGUUUUGCCUGCAUGUUUAUACGUACACUACUUGUGUGUCUGCUUCCUGCAAAGGUCAGAAGGUGUCAGAUCCUCGAACUGGAGUUACAGAUGAUUGAGAACAGAGCAUGCAGUAGUGUCUCCUUCAGACGGCUCAUUCUGUGGAAUCCGAAACCAUGUAUCAAAAACUUUUUAAAAAAAAAUCUUUGACCCCAAA